AUGUGCCAGGCAGAGUCCCAGAGCAAUCUCUGGUGCAUAUGCUGUAACACGUAUAGAAACACUGGAGAAGUUGUGUUGCUGUCACUAGAGCUUAAGCAUAUCAAAAUAUUAAUAAAAUUCCUUUCUAGAUUGCAAAAUAAUAACAUGCACCUGACUUUAGGAACAUGUGUAGUUCCAUCCGUGCUUGCAUGUCACAAGCUUGACGCUGCAUUGAACAUUUGCUUUCCUCUGGAAGAUGAACAAGACGAAAAGCAAACAAACAAAAAAAAACAACGAAACCUCCAAAAUUACCACCAAAAAAAUUCCAAAUUGGUGCCCACCCUACAUCCCUCACGCUCAUCCUCCUGGCCCGAACAAGCAAAACCAGCCCUGCGCUGUCCCUGCCCUGCAAGGAAGGGCGGUGAGCGGGUGGGCGCGGGGGGACGCAGGGCGGCUCCGGCUCUCGGCGCCUGGCCCCGAGCCUUUUCUUUAUUUUUUUUGCUCCUUCCUCCACGCACUUUGCAGUCAGGCAGAAACUGGCCAAAUCUCUCGGGGGAUCCGAGUGCCGAGCGGCUCGGGGAGCGGGGCCGCCAACCAGCGCUGCGCCUAACCAACAGGAGGAUGCUUGGGGCUUCCAGUUCUCUGAUCUGCUCAAAACCUGGGGUGCCGAGGAUGCUCCCGCCAGGGAGGUUUGCUCUGUGCUAACCGGGAUGCGGACCAACGGAGCAGCGAGCAGGGCAGGAUUGUGCCACCGGCCCGCAGGAAGCAGCAGCGGCUGCCUCGCCACGGCCGGCCGCAGCCCGAGGGAUGCAGCGGGGAGGAGAAGGGGUCGCAUCGCUGAGCUGUCGGGGUUGGGGCGGGGGUGUCCUUGCUGGGGUCACCGCGACGUCUCUGCUGCCGGAGGUGGGAGAUGAGGACGAGGAGAGGGAGAGGAAUGGUGGGGCCGUGGGGCUGGCCCUCCUCGCGCACGGAAAGGGGAGGUAGAUUGGCUUUGGAGACCUCUUGCCCUGGAGGAUGUCUUCAGACACCAGCUCAUUUUCCGGGGGGAAAGAGCCCACUGCAGGGCCCUGAACGCCCGUGCUUGCCUUCUCCCAAGGGGAAGGUGUCUCGGAGCCUGUUCAGGGAAAGCUCUUGAAGCAGGGGGCAACUUUCCCCUAAACUUUUUAGCCCUGAAACCGCCUCCACGGCUGCUGCAGACAAACGCCCAGCAGCCAGGGACGAGCCUGGAGUUGGUGGCCGUGACCCUUGGGACACCCCGACCCCAGCCCCUCUCCCUGCCCCGCUGCUGCCCCUGCCAUGCUCGCCCUGGGGAUCGUCUGUGUGAUGCUCUCCAUUCCCCCCUCCCCGUCCCUCUGU
rnacentral:lncRNA from 1 species